rnacentral:rRNA from 1 species
GACGAACGCUGGCGGCGUGCUUAACACAUGCAAGUCGAACGAAAAAUCAUUGAAAGCUUGCUGAUAUGAUUUUUAGUGGCGGACGGGUGAGUAACGCGUGAGGACUUGUCUUAUACAGGGGGACAACAGAUGGAAACGGCUGCUAAUACCCCAUAGGCCUUAGGGUAAAAGGAGUAAUCCGGUAUUAGAGAGACUCGCGUCCUAUCAGCUAGUAGGUGAGGUAACGGCUCACCUAGGCGAAGACGGGUAGCCGGCCUGAGAGGGCGAACGGCCACACUGGAACUGAGACACGGUCCAGACUCCUACGGGAGGCAGCAGUGGGGAAUAUUGGGCAAUGGGGGCAACCCUGACCCAGCGACGCCGCGUGAGUGAAGAAAUCCCUCGGGAUGUAAAGCUCUGUUGUGUGGGAAGAUAAUGACGGUACCACACGAGGAAGCCCCGGCAAACUACGUGCCAGCAGCCGCGGUAAAAC